rnacentral:rRNA from 1 species
UACGAAGGGGGCUAGCGUUGUUCGGAAUUACUGGGCGUAAAGCGCACGUAGGCGGAUCGAUCAGUCAGGGGUGAAAUCCCAGAGCUCAACUCUGGAACUGCCUUCGAUACUGUCGAUCUAGAGUAUGGAAGAGGUGAGUGGAAUUCCGAGUGUAGAGGUGAAAUUCGUAGAUAUUCGGAGGAACACCAGUGGCGAAGGCGGCUCACUGGUCCAUUACUGACGCUGAGGUGCGAAAGCGUGGGGAGCAAACAGG